CUUCUACUGAUUGCAAAUCUGCAGAAGAACUAAUAGCAGCUGAACACCAAGCUUCUCACAAUCCUGAAAACAAUAAAGAGUUUGUAUCUAUGCGUGAGUAUUACGCAUACAAGUUGCAGAUGCG